GAUGAACGCUGGCGGCAUGCCUAAGACAUGCAAGUCGAACGAAGAUGCCGGAGUGCUUGCACUUUGGCAGACUGAGUGGCGGACGGGUGAGUAACGCGUGGGUAACCUGCCUUAUACAGGGGGACAACAGUUGGAAACGACUGCUAAUACCGCAUAAGCGCACAGUACCGCAUGGUACAGAGCGAAAAACUCCGGUGGUAUAGGAUGGGCCCGCGUCUGAUUAGUUAGUUGGCGGUGUAACGGACCACCAAGACGACGAUCAGUAGCCGGCUUGAGAGAGUGAACGGCCACAUUGGGACUGAGACACGGCCCAAACUCCUACGGGAGGCAGCAGUGGGGAAUAUUGCACAAUGGGGGAAACCCUGAUGCAGCAACGCCGCGUGAGUGAAGAAGUAUUUCGGUAUGUAAAGCUCUAUCAGCAGGGAAGAAAAUGACGGUACCUGACUAAGAAGCCCCGGCUAACUACGUG
rnacentral:rRNA from 1 species